ACUGGGGCUGGCCUGGGCCGCGUCACUGAACUGGGAGGACACACUGCUCACCCGAGAAGGCUCUGGCUGACCCUCUGCCCGGUUAAACAGCGACUUUGUGGCCAUGUGCUGGCGACACAGGUCCUGCAGAGGAAGGAUUGGCUGGAUCCGUGCUCUCUGCUUCUUGUCGGAAGAGCUAACCCAACCCCACAGAAUGGCUGAAUGGCUUUCUCAGGCUGGGGCACUCACUUCUGAUCAGUGACUAUAUAGCCAUACUCCUCAGCGGACGGUCGAGCUGAAGGCUGUCCCACCACUGUGGGCUGGCUCUGGCCCAAGGGACUUUUCUUCUCCAGCAGGACAGCCGAGAUGCCCAGAGGACUGGAUGUCUUGGGAGGUUCAGGGAAACCAGGGCUCAGCACCUGCCGAACUUUGAUGGAGGUGGAGCUGGCAGUGGGGUGUCCAGGAAGCAAGGGUGUGGGGGGCCGAGCGUCUGCUGUGUCCCCUCUCUGCAUUUGUUCUUCUAUUGUCUGUUACAAGACAGGAUGCAGGAAUCACUGAUGUCCGAAAGGAUUGUGGAAAAAAGAGGAGUGGAUUAAGGAUUCUGGCUUCUAGUCCUGUUGACGUGAAGUGAGGCCACAGGUGAUUAUUUGAAGUCUCUGGGCCUUAAAGUGAGGGACCAGAAUUUAGAUUCUGAGCCAUGAUCUCAAAGCAAGGGCAGGGGGCGCCGUUAUGAGGUGCUGGGAACUCACUUUCUUGACAUCGGCUCCUCCGUUCACAGCCCCUCCUGUAGAGCAUGAGAGCGCUAGUCAGGAAGAGCGUCAAAGCCAAGGUGGGAAAGACCGGAGCUCGGACCUGCUCCACCUUUGUGACAACUGUCCUGUUAGCAGCCCCAGCUGUUGCCCCUGCGCCCAGACUCCCACUUUUUACCCCCUCGAGCUUCCCACCCUCUUGUUCCCAUCCUCAAAAGAACUCUCUUUUCAGCCAAGCAUGCUGGACCAUGCCUAUAAUCCACACUCUGGAGGUAGAGGCAGCAUCAUGAGUUUUCAAAUCACCCCAGACGACAGCAAGACCCCAUAUCAAGAAGAAGAGUUAAACCCAAAAACUCUCUCCUACACGAAUCUCCAUGGAGAUGGGAGUCACUGGCCUCCCUGACUGGACACUCACCAAGAUGUCUUCCUGUGCCCUUGGGCAGUAACUGCAGCAGGGUUAAGAGGGUAGAAAGCUGUUCCGGGGUCAGCUGACGCAGCUCUACUCCGUAGCCUGCCAGCACAGCAGCCAAUCUCUGCAGACUUACAUCUGCUGAGAGGCAGACAUGAGCUUAGGACUGAUGGAAGGCUGGUAGGUGGUCGGCGGGGGGCGGGGGGGACAAGCACGUUUGGAAUUCUUUCCAAACACUAGGACACUGGUGCCCAUCCCAGGACCUUGAACAUACUUAGGGUGUGCCAGAUGCACCCCUUACUGUCCCUACAUGGAAUCUAGGGCCUGUGUAGAUCAGCCUGUCAGUAGACAGUUAAAUGUGUGAGUGAAAGGCAGAAUGCAUGCCAACUGUGGCGGUUCGCGCUUGUAAUUUCAGUGCUCUGGAGUCUGAGGCAAGAGGAUCGCAGCAGGACUGAGUCCAGCCUGAGCUAAAAAUGAGCUCAAGGAUAGCCUGGGAUAACAGCAAGACCUCAUCUCCCCCCCCCCCCCCCGGAACUGGGAAUCGAACCCAGGGCCUUGAGCUUGCCAGGCAAGCGCUCUACCGCUGAGCUAAAUUCCCAACCCUGCAAGACCUCAUCUUAAAAAUAAAAUUGACGUAUAAUAAGGGC